AUUGAACGCUGGCGGCAUGCCUUACACAUGCAAGUCGAACGGCAGCGGGGGAGAAGCUUGCUUUUCCUGCCGGCGAGUGGCGAACGGGUGAGUAAUACAUCGGAACGUGCCCUGUAGUGGGGGAUAACUAGUCGAAAGAUUAGCUAAUACCGCAUACGACCUGAGGGUGAAAGUGUGGACCGCAAGGCCCCAUGCUAUAGGAGCGGCCGAUGUCUGAUUAGCUAGUUGGUGGGGUAAAGGCCUACCAAGGCGACGAUCAGUAGCUGGUCUGAGAGGACGAUCAGCCACACUGGGACUGAGACACGGCCCAGACUCCUACGGGAGGCAGCAGUGGGGAAUUUUGGACAAUGGGCGAAAGCCUGAUUCAGCAAUGCCGCGUGUGUGAAGAAGGCCUUCGGGUUGUAAAGCACUUUUGUCCGGAAAGAAAUGGCUCUGGUUAAUACCUGGGGUCGAUGACGGUACCGUAAGAAUAAGCACCGGCUAACUACGUGCCAGCCGCCGCCGUAA
rnacentral:rRNA from 1 species